rnacentral:lncRNA from 1 species
CACUCCCAAAACCUUUCCCUCCUUUUAAGCUUUCAUUGUUUGAUGAGUGAGGCUUUCUUCGGAAAGUCUUACAUGUGCAUAAUUUUGAGAGUAUCGGGAACGACAAUGCUUGAUCUUCAUUCUUGCUAGAUUGGGCACUCUAUUGUCUAGCUAUAGGUGGGGGUGAGAGUUGUGAUUAUGAUUUGGGAGCAAUGAAAAAGGAAAAGAAAUAACUCUUUGUGUUUAAGUGAAUUGUCUUACUGGGAUAAGUUGAAAAACCUCUAGCUCAAGUUAUGAAAAGUCUUGGCCCCCAUUUGAAAAAAAAAAAUAAAAUAAAAUAAAAUAAAAUAUGAAAAGAAAAGAAAAAGAAAGAAAAAGGGGGCUAGCAAGGUUGUUAGGAGCUAAAUAAUGUUUUGAGGUUGUGAAAAAUCCCUUGUAGAUUUCAAAGAGAA